AUGGCAGCCGUGGCAGCUGAUCCACCGGCGCAUGCGCAGCAGCACCAGCGGAAUGAAGAGGAAGCAGGGAUCGUCACCGUUAGCAUGCCGCCGGAUGACCCAGCUCCAGCUCCGGAUCCCCCUCUACUACUGCAGAUUCCUACGGCGGCGGCAUCAUCCCUGCCAAAAGGUGUAGUGCACGUGCUGGUCGUCCAUUCCACGGGCGCGCCCACGGCCGGUUUGCAGGCUGUGCUGGUCCCGGCCGCCAGCUGCAACGGCAACGCCCCCGUGCCGGACCCUAUUCCUCCGGCAAGGGACUGGGAGCUCCGCGGGUGGCUCAUGGUGCUGGCCACCCUCAUCGCCUCCAUCACCUACGCCUCCGGCCUCAGCCCGCCGGGCGGCUUCCAGGUCAAAGAAGUGCGCACGCUAGGAACAGCAAGCACAAAGAACCAGCAACAGCAGUUCAUGCCGGUUCUCCUCGAGGUGAACAGCUUCAGGUACAUGAUGUUCUACUACGCCAACACCCUGGCCUUUGCUCUGUCGCUCUCCAUCAUCAUGCUGUUAGCCAGCCAGGACGUGCGGAAGCUGGCCAAGACCAAGGCCCUCAAGAUCCUCGUAGCGCUCGACGUGCUGGCGCUCUGGGUGGCCUACAUCUGCGGUUCCUCAUUCAACGGCAUCACGCAGAUGGUCAGCUUGGCGAUUGUCUUCGUCCUGCUCCUGGCCCUCACCAUCCGUGGAAAAUACUUCUGGGAUGAAGUCUGA
rnacentral:rRNA from 1 species